ACAGAGGGUGCAAGCGUUAAUCGGAAUUACUGGGCGUAAAGCGCGCGUAGGUGGUUAUGUAAGUUGAAUGUGAAAUCCCCGGGCUCAACCUGGGAACUGCAUCCAAAACUGCAUGGCUAGAGUACGGUAGAGGGUGGUGGAAUUUCCUGUGUAGCGGUGAAAUGCGUAGAUAUAGGAAGGAACACCAGUGGCGAAGGCGACCACCUGGACUGAUACUGACACUGAGGUGCGAAAGCGUGGGGAGCAAACAGG
rnacentral:rRNA from 1 species